rnacentral:rRNA from 1 species
UACGUAGGAUCCUAGCGUUGUCCGGAUUUACUGGGUGUAAAGGGUGCGCAGGCGGACUUAUAAGUCAGUGGUGAAAUCUCGGCGCUUAACGCCGAAACUGCCUUUGAUACUAUAAGUCUUGAGUUUGGUAGAGAUCCGUGGAAUUCCGAGUGUAGCAGUGAAAUGUGUAGAUAUUCGGAAGAACACCAGCGGCGAAGGCAGCGGAUUGGGCCAAUACUGACGCUGAGGAGCGAAAGCGUGGGGAGCGAACAGG